ACAACCUUUUUACAUUUUCAGCGGAAAAUCCCUGAGAAAUAUUGCAUUUUUUAUUGUGUCUUUUUACUAUAAGUUUUAGUUGUCCAGUAUUUUAUGCUUUGGUUCGAAAAUAGGAUGACACUUAAUUCAAAGUCAGUCAACAUAAUCAAUAUAAGCAAUCAAUAUCAGGGGUUUCAUUAGAAGGCAGGUACCAGUAGUUAACCGCCGCCGUCAACUUAAAACGCUGAUCUCAGAUCUAAUAAAGUUUGCAAAUGAAGCAUGAUUCGUCCACAGUGAGUAUGACCGUUCAUCUCAGCAGACAACCUUUUUCAAAAGCUUAUUCUGGACCCUGGAUAUUGUUAAGAAACCAAACUGUUUAGAUUGAAGGCAAAAUCGUCUGCUUCCUCAAAGGUCUUUCGCUACUAACCUUCACUCAUGACCAGAGGCACACAUCCACCAUACACCUAUACAUAUACCCAUUUAAUCAAUGAUCCAUUAUACUCCCCACCAGUUCAAAUUAGUACUGCAACCACCCCUAUGGAAAAAUCCUGCAUCUGCCCCUGAUGACAAAUUCCCUUUUUUUCUUUUGCAGCUGCAAUGCAUGUCCAUUUCAGAACUAAAAAGAGGGAGCAUGUCACAAAAGCAAAUGACAGUUAUGAUGCCACCUUAAACAGGCAGAGAAAGCGCAGCCGGCUUAACACAAAAACAACGCUACGAAAAAAGACCUUGAGGGAAAGCUCCAGCAUCAACGAGGAGAGAAAAGCGAAAUACUUUGAAAUCAUGUCUGUGGACUAUAUGUCCUCGGAGCACACAGGGUCUGAUGGAGAAAAUGAGGGGUCUGACGAGGAAGCACCUUAACUGCUUUACAAGCAUAAGCUUCCAUGGAGGAGUGAGGAGGCCGAUUCAUUGAUGGCCUACUUAGAAAAAAAAGUUAGGAAGGGCAGGGGCCAGAGAAGCACAAACAUGAUGUUCAGGAGGAAAGAUGGUGCUAAUUCGAAAAGAACACAUUGGGCACACAGAUUGGGCUGUGAAGCAUCAGCUUUAGGUUGUCUACAUGCAAGCUAUUCUUUUCGAAUUAGCACCAUCUUCUCUAUUUUGCUAUGAAUGAUGGACUUGUGCGUUGGCACAAAAAAUGUUAUUGUUGAAGCAUAUAGUGAUCGACUUUGAUUUACAAAUUCACAACGAUUUUUAUUACAACAAGUUCAUGAGUAUUCAGAUUUAUUAUUGAACUAUUUUCCUCGAAAAACAGUAGAUGAGGCUACAAUUUAUUAUAUAAAGGAGAUGUGAUUUAUUUAGAAUAUUGAAAGAAUAAUAUUCAAAGAAUUAUUACUUUGACCAAGAGCUGAUAAAAUAAUGUUUAUAGUAAUUUAUUUAUUUUGAAAUAUACACUUAUUGGACCAAACCAAAUGUAUAAAUACCUAUUAUAUUUUACUGAUUACAGAAAAUACAUGAUAUAAAGGAUUUCAGUAGA